UGGGGAAUUUUCCGCAAUGGGCGAUAGCCUGACGGAGCAAUGCCGCGUGGAUCUCGAAGGCCUACGGGUCGUCAACUUCUUUUCUCGGAGAAGAAACAAUGACGGUAUCUGAGGAAUAAGCAUCGGCUAACUCUGUGCCAG
rnacentral:rRNA from 1 species